ACCUCUGGACUUGUCUUCAUGGUGAAAACGGCUACCGAAUGCUAUUUUUGUGUGAAAAUUUUCGAUUUUAUAAUUUACAUUUUUUACUUUAAAGUGCUAUAACUUUUUAAAAAAUGUAUGGAUCAAUACAAUUUUUUCAUGAGAAGUAGUAUUUAUAUACAUCUUUCAUUGGAUAUACUUUUUUUUUAAAUCAGACUAUUUCCCUAUAUAUGGGGGGGCUUCAAAUAUAAAAAAUGCAUAUAGAAAGUAGAACUUUUUCAACUUAACUUUUGAAAAUGUUCCGGAAGGUCUGACACUUUUAUAUAUAUCUUAAAUUAAAGCUAAUGUAAUAUACUUUAAUUUGAAAAAAAAAAAUUUGACCUCUGGACUUGUCUUCACGGCGAAAAUGGCUACCGAAUGCUAUUUUCGUGUGAAAAUUCUCGAUUUUAUUAUUUAUAUUAUAUUUAACUUUAUAAUGCUAUAACUUAUUGAAAAGUUUAUGGAUCCACACAAUUUUUUUAUGAGAAAUAAUAUUUUUUAAUAAACCCUUUUUCAUUCGACAUACUUUAUCUUAAUCGAGAUAUUAAGGAACCAGCAGAUCAAGUAGCUUUUGGAAUAAAACACCAAUUUUUUUAAAAUUUAACACUAUCUAAAGAUUUGCAUCGAAGCGUUUAUUUUUGAUAGUGAUUUUAAUCACUGUCAGAUAUCAUUAUACUUCAUCCAACUAUACCACGUCACAACUGUGCUGCGACCCCCCUGUGCUGGGUUUUUUUAAACGAAUAUGCGUUUUCCAAAAAAUAAAAUGAAAAUAAAUAAUUAAAAAUCAACAAAAUCAGUUAUAACGUAUUUUAAGACUUUUAAAUGUUUUUUACUGUUUGUAGUGUUUUUGUGGGCCAUUUAUUGAGAAAACAACAUUGAAGUUAUUAUUUUUGAAUUUCUUGUAAAAUUUCUUUUACUUGAGUUUUACUUUUAUUAUUCUAAGUUAAGAGAAAAAAAAGUUAUGAGACAUAGAUCAGUUAUUUCUAUUAAAUUUGACUCUUCGACUCAACUUAAUAGGCCCGGGGGCACGGGUUAACCUUAACGGAUCGGUCCCAAAUUUUGCACAGCUCAUUUUUUUGACCAUUAAAAAAAAAUUAAGGGGUAGCGUAAAAAAAAAAAAAGACAUUCGAUUUUUGAGGGCUACCCUAA